rnacentral:tRNA from 1 species
GCGAUGGUGGUUCAGGGGUAGAAUUCUUGCCUUCCACGUGGGAGACCUGGGAUCAAUUCCUGGCCAGUGCA